CCGAAUUGUCGACACGAGUUGUUGCUGGUCCUCAAACGGGGGCAUGUGCACGCUCUGUUUACACAUCCACUCACACCUGUGCACCUUCUGUAGUUCUGUGGCAUGGGGGGCUCUGUCCUCCUGCUGUGGUCCUACGUCUUUACACACACCCUGUAACAAAGUCUCAUGGAAUGCAUGACGCGUUUAACGCAAUACAAUA
rnacentral:misc_RNA from 1 species